UACUACAGCAGGUUAAUGUCUCUCUCUACUACAGCAGGUUAAUGUCUCUCUCUCUCUACUACAGCAGGUUAAUGUCUCUCUCUCUCUACCACAGCAGGUUAAUGUCUCUCUCUACUACAGCAGGUUAAUGUCUCUCUCUACUACAGCAGGUUAAUGUCUCUCUCUCUCUACCACAGCAGGUUAAUAUCUCUCUCUCUCUACUACAGCAGGUUAAUGUCUCUCUCUACUACAGCAGGUUAAUGUCUCUCUCUACUACAGCAGGUUAAUGUCUCUCUCUACUACAGCAGGUUAAUGUCUCUCUCUACUACAGCAGGUUAAUCUCUCUUUCUACUACAGCAGGUUAAUCUCUCUUUCUACUACAGCAGGUUAAUGUCUCUCUCUACUACAGCAGGUUAAUCUCUCUUUCUACUACAGCAGGUUAAUCUCUCUUUCUACUACAGCAGGUUAAUCUCUCUUUCUACUACAGCAGGUUAAUGUCUCUCUCUACUACAGCAGGUUAAUGUCUCUCUCUACUACAGCAGGUUAAUGUCUCUCUCUACUACAGCAGGUUAAUGUCUCUCUCUACUACAGCAGGUUAAUGUCUCUCUCUACUACAGCAGGUUAAUGUCUC